AUUAGUCUUUUAAUUGGAGGCUUGUAUGAAUGGUUGGACAAGAAGUAAGCUGUCUCGAACUCAGAGAUUGAAGUUGACUUUUAAGUGAAAAGGCUUAAAUAGUUUAAAGGGACGAUAAGACCCUAUAAAGCUUAAUAAUUUAAUAUAUAAUUAAAUAAAUUAUAAGUGUUAUGUUAUCUAUAUUUUAAAUUAUUUCGUUGGGGCGAUGUUGAUAUAAUUUGUAACUGUUUAAGUUUUUGAUACAAAGAUAUUUGUGUAUAAUGAUCCUUGUUGUUGAUUAAAAAUUUAAGUUACUUUAGGGAUAACAGCGUUAUUUAUUUUGAGAGUUCAUAUCGACAAAAAAGUUUGCGACCUCGAUGUUGAAUUAAAAAUUCGCCAUGGCGUAGGAGUUAUGGGGGAAGGUCUGUUCGACCUUUAAAUUUUUA
rnacentral:rRNA from 1 species